AUUAUGUCAGUGUUUGAGAUUGCACGCAAGCUUUUCGUGUUUGAGGAAGUAAAAUUUACUACAUAAUU
rnacentral:tRNA from 1 species